rnacentral:rRNA from 1 species
GAUGAACGCUGGCGGCGUGCCUAAUACAUGCAAGUCGAGCGAACAGACGAGGAGCUUGCUCCUCUGACGUUAGCGGCGGACGGGUGAGUAACACGUGGAUAACCUACCUAUAAGACUGGGAUAACUUCGGGAAACCGGAGCUAAUACCGGAUAAUAUAUUGAACCGCAUGGUUCAAUAGUGGAAGACGGUUUUGCUGUCACUUAUAGAUGGAUCCGCGCCGCACUAGCUAGUUGGUAAGGUAACGGCUUACCAAGGCAACGAUGCGUAGCCGACCUGAGAGGGUGAUCGGCCACACUGGAACUGAGACACGGUCCAGACUCCUACGGGAGGCAGCAGUAGGGAAUCUUCCGCAAUGGGCGAAAGCCUGACGGAGCAACGCCGCGUGAGUGAUGAAGGUCUUCGGAUCGUAAAACUCUGUUAUUAGGGAAGAACAAAUGUGUAAGUAACUAUGCACGUCUUGACGGUACCUAAUCAGAAAGCCACGGCUAACUACGUG